rnacentral:lncRNA from 1 species
AGAGAAGAUGUGUUUGCAAAAACUUGUCUGUUCUUGUUUGACUAACCAUGUCAUUUUGCCUUCCAGAUGGAAAUGUAGUUGGAUGGGGACUUCUGGUGGGCACCCCCUUCUUAUGCUUUGUAGACCCACUGUGUCAUGUUCCCUGGAACCUCGUCCAGCUGCUGGGAACAGUUUUUUGAGAAAGUCAAUGGGAACUGCGUGUCAAGAAAAGAAAGCAGUUGGAUAGAGGAUAGAUAAUAAGCAUUAACUCCACGUUUAAUUCGAUGUGAAAACUGCCCUUUUUACCAAUUCAUGUCUCCAUCAGCAGAAGCUAGGGCAUUUCGAGUUGAGUUGCAUUAUUAAGUUUAUAAUGUUCACCUAACCUCAAACCUUUGAAACCUUUGCUCAACAGUCCAAAGAGAUUUUUAGUUAAAUUAAAAAUUCUACCUAACUCAACGGUAUUGUACGUUUUUGAGCAGAAUAUAUACAGAAGCAGUUGGAUGACCUUUCUAGUUUUUUCCCCCCAGAAUUUAUUCUGCUGAAGUGAUAUUAGUAAGCCUCACUAGAACACGACAAUUCUUUGCAGAAUGUCACAUUAUUAUUAUUAUAUAGUUGGCAUUUGAACACAUAUAGCUGGCGUUUAAAUUUUCUUAGAAAAUUUAAAGAGAACUCAUCUUUUCUUCUUUGGCACUGGCAACUUUGAACCUAUUCUCUGCAAGCUCCGGAACUUCCAGAAGAAAAAGCACAAAACCACGUGGUGCAGGAGAAGAAGGGACACCCAGCCGUUAACAUCAAAGGCCAACCAAAAUUUGUGAGACAUGUUUCGUCA